UACAGAGGUCCCAAGCGUUGUUCGGAUUCACUGGGCGUAAAGGGUGCGUAGGCGGUCGGGUAAGUCUGAUGUGAAAUCUCACAGCUUAACUGUGAAACUGCAUUGGAUACUAUCCGGCUCGAGGAAUGGAGGGGAGACUGGAAUACUUGGUGUAGCAGUGAAAUGCGUAGAUAUCAAGUGGAACACCAGUGGCGAAGGCGAGUCUCUGGACAGUUCCUGACACUGAGACACGAAGGCCAGGGGAGCAAACGGG
rnacentral:rRNA from 1 species